rnacentral:rRNA from 1 species
GAUGAACGCUGGCUACAGGCUUAACACAUGCAAGUCGAGGGGAAACGCCGGGGAAGCUUGCUUCCCCGGGCGUCGACCGGCGCACGGGUGAGUAACGCGUAUCCAACCUGCCUCUGACUGAGGGAUAACCCGUCGAAAGUCGGCCUAAUACCUCAUGGCAUCGUCUGCGGGCAUCCAACGACGAUUAAAGAUUUCAUGGGUCAGGGAUGGGGAUGCGUCUGAUUAGCUUGUUGGCGGGGUAACGGCCCACCAAGGCUACGAUCAGUAGGGGUUCUGAGAGGAAGGUCCCCCACAUUGGAACUGAGACACGGUCCAAACUCCUACGGGAGGCAGCAGUGAGGAAUAUUGGUCAAUGGGCGGGAGCCUGAACCAGCCAAGUAGCGUGCAGGAGGACGGCCCUAUGGGUUGUAAACUGCUUUUAGGCGGGGAUAAAGUGAGGGACGUGUCCUUCAUUGCAGGUACCGCAUGAAUAAGGACCGGCUAAUUCCGUG